UCUGGAGGCUUAGUGGUUAGAGCGUCCGCCUCGGAUGCGGAAUAUCGUGGGUUCAAUCCCCAGCCCAGUCAU